UUUUUGAUUGGUGGCCUUCAGAAUGCUUUCCCACUGCAGUUGAGAACUGUUGAGAAGCUGCUGUACAUGAUACACCAUGGGGCUUUCGUGUCACUUUUAGAGUUCCAGGACUUCAACUUCUGUGAGACACUUUCCCUCCAUGUCAUACAUCUGCAAAUUUAAAUUCAAGAAAACCCUUUCAAAACAGUGAAAUUAAGUAAUAAUUGAAGUGGAUACUAGCUUCUUCAGCACAAAAGGAUUUAUUUUGGUAUAUUUUUAGGGUUUGGUACAACACAUUGAUACAAAAUACUAGCAUGAGAGAAAAAAAAUUGAUAGUGUAAAGGAUGUGUGAUGGGAGAAAAGAACAAAGGGCUUUUCUCCAAUCAAAUGCAAAUGAAAAUGACCCGCAAGAUUCUGAAAACAGUCUCUCUCCUGACAAUGAACAUUUUCAUGCAGUGAAAUCCAUUUUUGAGACUCAUUAGCAAGCGCUGUGAUCUUGCUUAUUUUCUAUAGAAGCGUCUGGUUAUUUCAAAUUGAUUAGGAGACCUCUGAUGUGGGAGACCGAAUCACUGAACUACCCCAGAAUGCAAGCUCCUGGAAGGCAAGGAUUCCUGCACAUGACUGCCUGCAUGUGAUUCCAAGAUGUACUCCAGAUUAUAACAGCUGCAAAUGAAAAAUAUCAAGAUGGUGCCUACAAAUCAGGACAAUAGACAGCAUGGGCUAAGGACAUCUUUGGCAAGGCUUGGGAGCACCUUUUAGAGGUGAGUGUGUGUGUGUGUGUGUGUGUGUGUGUGUGUGUGUGUGUGUUUUGUUUAAAUAUUGUUGAUUUACAAUUUUGUGUUACUUUCAGGUGUGCGGCAUAGUGAUUCAGUGUUUUGUUUUCAAAAAAUAUCUUAACUAUGCAUAUUCAGAGUCAAGGCCUCUCCAAAUGUGAUUACGUAUUUAUAGCCUUGCCACAUGGCUUCCCAGAGUAAAGCAUAACAAGCUCUAUUUAAAGAGAUCCUCACAGACACUGUUUGGCUGACCACAUUCAGCAUGUAGUUUACAUACAGAUCGAUAAAGGUUGAGUUUCAGUUGAAUCUGAGUCCUGGCUUCUAAUUGUUUCCUUUAAAUUAUAAGUAGAUCACUUUUGCAUCUUCCUAACUGAAUAAGGGAUUUUAACUCAUUUACUUUCACUGACUGUAACCUAGGAGUACAAAUGCUCACCUAACUAAAAGCCUAGUGGACCACUUAGGAGAAAGCUUUUUUCCUCUCCUGGUGCUUGCUGAUAGAAAUCCAAUAGGACUUCACUACUUCCGCUAUCAUGAGCUGCUCUGAGCUUUAAAAGGUUGUCUUUGUCUGUUUGAUAACAUCUGCUCCACACUCUGGUCAUAUGGAAGCCCUUAGGAAACAGUUCUCUAAGGCAGAAGCAUAUUUCAUAAGAUUCAUAUGAUUUACAAACAAGAAUUUUAAGUUCUAAUUAGUACUUUCAGGGUGGUUCAUGCAAAAGAAAGAUUUCUAUUUGCAUGUCAAUGAAAAGCUGCUGCCUUAGAAACCUUUAUUAAAUCUUUAAUUAAUCUUUGUACAUGGGGAAGGAUUUAUUUUUCUUAUUUCCAGUCCUCAGGAACAGAUUCAGACAAUCUUAGGGCCUUAGAUGUUUAGAAUAUCCAUGCCUAUUGCACCAUGAGGUUUUAGGUUUGGUAUGUGGUGUGAGGAGAAAAGAAAAUCUAGUCCUCAAAGAGUUCCUUUUUUUUUCCUUAAAAUCUGUGAUAGCCCUAUUGCCUCUCUUCUCUUUCUCCCUUCCUUUCUUACCCUCUUCUCUUCCUUCUGCCUUUCCUUCUCCAGUAUUGUAUUUCUCUUUCAGAAAUACUUAUGACCAGUGCUUGCUGGGUGGUAACUUUUAUUUUAUUAGUGCUUAUGCUAGAAUCACUCAUUUUCACACUGUGCAAUUACUACUUACAAAAAAUGCUUUUUUUUUUUCUUUUUUAGGGCUGCACCUGUAGCAUAUGGAUGUUCCCAGACUAGAGGUCGAAUCAGAGCUGCUGUAGCCCCCACAACCCCCAUAGACCUCUGCCACAGCCCCAGCAAUGCCUGAUCCAAGCCUCAUCUGUUCCCUGUGCCCCUGCAGCUUGCAGCAAGGCCAGAUCCUUAACCCACUGAGCAAGGCCAGGCGUCAGACCCACAUCCUCUUAGAUACUAGUCAGGUUCUUAACCUGCUGAGCCACAAUGGGAACUCCUUUUAUUUUAAAGUUCUUCAAAAUUUUAACUAAAUGCUGCCAUAAUAAUUAGAUUUCUAAUUUUUAGAUAUUAAAUUAUUAUUUAAAAUGUUGGCUCCUUUGUCCAAUAAACUGAUGCAGUGGAAAGAAUUAAUAAACAACUGGAGCCUAAGAGAUAUUUAUAAUGAUAAAUAACAGGUACUUAAUUCCUUGGGUUAGAUUCAUGAUAGUGCUUACUAUAUAUAUCUCACUAUAUAUAUGUAUAUGAUAUAUAUAUCACUGUGUAUAUGUGUGCGUGUGUGUAUAUACAUAUCUAUGAUUUUUGUCGUGUGUGUAUAUAUAUACAUAUAUAUAUGAUUUUUUGUCAUGUGUGUGUAUAUAUAUACAUAUAUAUAUAUGUAUAUAUAUAUAUGAUUUUUUGUCAUGUCAAUAUACCUUCUUUUGGAGGCCCAGAACCACCCUUUCUUUUUUCAUACUAUUUUGUGAUUUGGGGUUGUGUCUGAUUCAGGCUAGCAAGAAUGAAAACUCUCAUUUCCCAUGACUAUCUUGGUUCUGGAAUGUGCAUCUGAUCUAAAAUGUGCUGAUCAAAGUUUUCCUUGGAAUUUGUCCUGGAGCUCUCAGGAGGCACAGCAAUAAAGCAUGUAGGAUCAGGACCAGCAGUGGUUGGUUAUCUUGCUGUCUUCUCUGUCCUGUGUAGGACCAGGACAAGCAGUGGCUGGUUAUCUUGCUGUCUUAGGAAGAGGGUCUAUUUAAGAGCAAAACUAAACAAAGGCAGGUGGAGUUGGAUAAGAGCAAGAAAAGAGAUUGAGAGAACAGAUGCUAUUGACUGCAUUACUGGAGGUUUACACUUGGAAGGUAUUUUUCAUAUAUAUAUGAAAUGAGUGACAUAAAGGAUGAAUUCAUUAGAGAAAAAACAGCCAAAAAAAAAAAAAGCAGGGAGGAAAAAUGGAGUAUGGCACAUCUAGGGCUCCAAGAGUUUUUAAUAGCUAAAGUUUCAGAAUGCUGGUUGUUUGGUAGCAGGGGUGAGCUGAAAGGUAUACAAGGGCCCAAUUAUGAGAAGGACCUUGACUGUCAAAUUAAGGAGCUUAGACUUGCUUCUGAAGGCAAUAAAGAGCCAUUAAUUGCAUUUAAGCAGGCAUCUGAUUGGUUAGAUUUGCUCAAGACUGGUUCGUGUUGAAGAAAUAUGUAAAGUUGGAAAAACUUUUAAACAUCAUCAUUGCUGUUUCCAUUCAAAACUAUCAAACCAAUAAUUGGAAAACUUGAAGGUCUAAAUAUAACUCUAAGAAAUCAAUUUAAAAAAACCUCUAAGUUUAUCUUGUCAUUUAUGAUAUUAUAAAACAGCAUGGAGACAUUGUUAUGAAUAUAUUGAUUUGAUCUUAGACAUUCCAGUUAUAUUAAAAAAGCUAAGUUAGCAAAGAAAAAGCACUACAACCACUGAAAACUGAGUCAGUGGAAAUAACUAAAGUUAGAAAAUAGAAGAGUUAACUUGUUAACUUUAGAAUGAAGAACUACAGUGGAGAUUAAUUUGCUUCUGUUGCUUCAGAAUAGACAUUCAUAUUCAGAAAUCAAGUAAACCAUGAAUGUUGUUUAAAUAUUCUGUACAGCUAUAGUCAGUUUCUUCUGUCUCAAAAUUUUUCUAAAUACAUAUUUUGUAGAUAGACUCUUUUUCUUAAGAUAAUGCAAACUGUAAUACCUGUAUGUCAAGUGUACUCAAGCCUAAUUAAUAUUUUUAUAUUAAUAUACAGUGAUUUUCAGUGUGAAACGUUAUUUUCUAUCCUCUUUUGCUACUCAUAACAUCCUUGUGAUUUGGGCUCUGCAGCCGACUUUUCAGCUGAGAAAACUGCGGUUCUAAGACGACAGUAGUAAGGAGCUCAAGAGCACACAGAGAAUCUGGCCAAACUGAUAUUUGUAGAGCCCAGGACUUCUUGGUUUGUUUUUACAUCAAAUACUGUAUUCCUUGCUUUUCAAGGCAGCAUAACAGCUGACCUGGACAGCCAGGUAGCUGAGUCAGGAAUUAGGUAUCUACCCUAAACAGUGGAUUUCUGGAGUGGGUGAGUCUGGCACAGUCUAGUGGGACCACCACUUUGCCCUGCCCUUCUGCAGGUGAGCCUUGUCUUUAGGUUUUUCAUUGAAUUUCCUCUGGUAUUUAAGGUUCCCUAAAGGAGAAUAAUCUUACCCUUGAUCCUUCACCCUUGAGCCUUUUAUUUCUCAUUGCCAGCAGCCAAGGUAAAGAUUAGGAUCUCUUUCUAAUAUUAAUGUGACUAUUAAUGAAAAUGACUACAUUCUUUCCAAUGGACUGAUAAUCAAGGAUCACUAGUUUCCACUCAACUUGAGAUACUUCCCACUGUCUGAACUCUUCCUAUAGACUUUGUUAAAUAAGAACAUCAGUCUAAGUCAACAUAGGACCACAUGGGUUUUUGGAUGCUGUCCGUUCCCUCAGGGACGAGUACUGAGCUCCGCUGACAAUCAAAACACUUUAGAGCUGCCAGAUGCCACCAUGUGUCACCAGCAGGCAUCUGACUUGUUCUAUGUUAAGGAAAUAUAUAAAUACGCCAGCAGUGCCCUGUUGCCUGGCUGACUCCUUUCCACUCUUCUACUCUCAGCUCAGGCAUCUUCUCCUCCCCAAACCUUUCAGCAUUAGUGUUGAUUUAGGUUUCUCUUCCAUGAAUUCCCAUUUGUAAUACAGUGGUUUCCACAUUAUACUCUAAAUGUCUAUUUCUCAGACUUAGCAAUGUCUUAGAUGGAGGGCCUCUGUUUUCAUCUUUUUAGCUCCAGGGCCAUUUAUAAGGAGUCUGGAGCCAAUGAAUGCUUGCAAACUAAAGAUUGCCUACCUGAAUGAAAAAAAAAAAUGGACUUUUGAAACAAUGAUAAAACAAAUACGAAUCCUUAAAUAUAUGUCUUACAUGUAGAGUCAUUUUCUAUAAAUGACUUACAGUUUUGGUCUUAUAUUAGAAUUAUUGGAAGAGUCUCUAAUGGAAGUGUACUAGAAAAAACAUUGUACCCAUUCAGUAAACGGAGGCAAAGAGAAAUGAACUAAUAUUUAUUAAGGACUAUGUCCUAGGACUGAUUAGGAAAUUUUAUGUAUAUGUUAUUCUAUUUAAUAUUUAUAUUAAUGCCACAAGCAAAUGUAUUUUUAUCUUCCCUUUAUGAAUGAAGUAAGUUUUUAAAGAAGUAGAGUUACCUUCAACUAAAAUCUAGCAUUUAGUAAGUUUAAGGAUGGGGCAGAAUCCCAGGAGAGAAAGGGCUCAAAAGCCCGAUUGACUUAAAUCUCAAUGUUUUCUAGCCAUAUCAUAUGUCUAAAAUAUUGGGCAAGUAUUUAUUCGCCCUAAGAUUCUUCUGUAUAUAUGCACAUCUGUAUCUGUGAACCACAGGCCUACGAAUGGCUGAUCCUGUGUUUGUUGCAAAGAUAAAGUGUAUAGCAAAAUGCCAGGUAUUAAUAGACUGCAUGGUGAUUAUUCUGCUUGCAUAACCUAGUAAUUACUUUACAUUCUACUCUCUUUUCACUACACUAAGUUUUCUUUAAAAAAGAAAUCCCUGCCAUAUUAUGGAUAUCAGUGAACAGUUUAGAUCUUCACUAACUGCAAAAUGGGCAGAGGAACAUCCUCAAACCAUUCCUGAGGGAUUUUACUCCUAAGAUGUUCUUUGAGGAAGGACAGCAGUCCAACGCAGACCUAGCAAUGAGCUCCUGUGCAAUGCCCCCAGGAAGAUCCAACCCCCGGACAAUGCUCAGUCCAAGCAGAGUAGAGUGUUAUCCACUGUAGCCUGACAUGCAGGACCCCUGUGUGCUUGAAUCAACUUCACUGUGGUCUCUGCUUGCUGGGAAUUGCUUUAGGUAGUUGGAGUUCUCCAGAGCAAAGGAUCUAGCGUUUCCAGGCAUUCUGCUACUUUUGAGCUGAUGAGACUCAGGGUGGUCUGUGUCUUUAUUUUUGGAAGGUAAGGGUUUGGAUAUCUCUCUUCUGUUUCUUUAGUUCCCCUCACCCACAAAACACCAACUGACUAACUCACUGAGGUAAUCCACAAAAAAAGGGAAAAAAGGCCAUCCUGGUACAUAUGAUAUGGAAAUACUGCCUACAUGUGGAAAAGGUGUUAAAAAUGUGACAAAGUAAUAAAGUCUCUUUUUGUAAACUGGAGAAGAUUCGUCAGAGAAAGUUUAGGAGAAAAAUCAAGGGGGGAUAAAAAUAUUUCUCUGUCUAUAGUGGCUGUCAAGCAUUGUGCUUACGGAUGCUACAUUAACUGCCUAAAGCGUGCUCCUGUUCUUCUUAAGGCAGUAGAAGCUUUCAGGGCCAAGUGGAGCUGUACUUCACAGUUCCUCUUAAUGAAGUCAGUGUGAGCCCUCUGAAUAAAAAUGCCUCAAAGGAUGUGGAAUGGAAUGAGAAUUGGGUUCACCAAAAAUGAUAAAAACUGUACAGAUUAAGUAAAAGAAAUUUUACCUCAGAGCAUUGACAAGGAUUGUCUCCGCUCCUUGGGGAGCUCAGCCCUGUGUCGGCAGCAUUCAUGGUACAAUUUCCUUUCUGAAACUUGGCUUUUUAUAAGCCGCUCUAACUUGAAUCAAAGGGUCUUGCGAGAACGGAAGUUGGCAUUUUUUUAAACUUUAUGAAUUAUUAGGGAAGCCCCUUCAAAUGAAAUUAACUUUAGAUCAUGGAAGACAAUGGCAAAACCCUAUAAAACACAUUUCAUGCACUUCAGAUGAGCUAAAAUGUAAUAGUUUACUUAUUGAGUGGGUGGGGAGGGUUAGAAAUUACUUUAAAAAGGACUAAAACAGUUCAAAGCUAUUUCUUAAAAAUAUCUUGUUUCAUUGUAGAAAGAUCUCUCACUGCUCUUAUUGAAGAUUUGGCUCUGUUAGUAAUGAUUUCUUACCCUUACCUACAUUUCAUGAUUCAUUUUGUUAUAACAUUCCCUGUUUUAUGAAAAGGUUUUUUUUUUUUUUCCUUUUUUAAAUCCAAUCUUACCUGUGAUUAGUCCUGCCCUACUUUCCCAUGUCACCUUCAAAAAAGUGAUAAAGCCAGAGUUUCUUCCAAAAAUAGAUAUUAUUUGAGUCUCCUUGUUCUCUAGCUGUGGUGUCAUUAGGGACUUAUGUGGCAGUGCAGAUACUAAGAAGAAAUAUGUCAUUUGAUUCUGAGGUCAGCAUAGUCUAGGGAGGAAAGCACAAUCUGGUGGUGAAACACCCUACAAAAUAAUGUCUCUGAUUCAACUCACAGAAAGCUCUCUGGAAUUAAAAGACGCCGUGUGUGUGUGUAUUUUUUAAACUGCUGACCAGGUCUGUAUCCUUCUGACCUAGAUUAUCAAACCAUGAAAUGUGCAUGUGAGUCCUCUGCAAAGUAAAAUCUUAAGGUCUUGGGACUAAAAAGGAGCUUAACAGCUUCCUAUUGGAACAGUUCUGGCUCUGUCUUCAAUAUCUUCUCCAGGUGGUUCUCUAGUCUUUUUGGACACACUGAAACCCAGUACUCAUAGGAAUGUGAGCUCUUUGAGGGCAUGGGGACUGCUUUUUUCUCCUUCACCUUUACUAUCUCCUGAGUAUAAAUAGUGCUCAGUGCCAAUUAAACCUCACUAAAAUUUGAUGAAUGAAUUAAAGACUGAAGGACCACUCUGAACUACUCUUAAUGUAAAGCAUAGCAAUUUUGGUAUAAAAAAACACACAUAUGAUGUACUUCCUUUCUACUCUCUUUCCUUCUCUUCUUUGUCCCUUUCUUCUUUCUUUUUAUGGCAGACAUAGAAAUCACCUAAACUGGAAACAAGAAGCUAAUUCUUAGCUCUUUGUAGAGCCAAGGUAAUCUCUUACCUGUUCUUGUUAUUAAUGUGUUUAAAGGAGGCCUAAUUUAAUACAAAUUAAAGAGUGGCUAGCUAGGUAACCCCUUUUACUUUAAGUUCUGCGUGUCUCAGUUUUUUUCACCUGUAAAAUGGAGAUAAUAAUUGCAUCUGUCUGAAAUGGUUAUAGAAAGACCCAGUGCCAUAUUAUAUAUAAAAUAGUUUAGGACAGUAUCCAACAUAUAGUUUGCACUUGAUAAACAUUUAAAAAAUUGAUCCCUUAUGAAACAGCACUUUCUAUGUUAAUUUAUCUUUUACUAUUCUGGUUAUCUCUCACUCUGUAACAAAUCACUGCUUUUAUUUUUCCGUAUAUUAACUGAGGUCAGAUGUGUGAUUCUUGCUACGGUUUCUCACAUGUGUAAAUGGGGCCCCAGAGACAUCUGAAUACUUGCCUGAGUUGGGUGUCCAAAAGGGUAUACACCAUGGCUGGCAGCUGAAGGGGGCUGUUGACUAGAAGCUCAGCUGAGACUAUCAGUUAGAGUUUAGCCUCUCCAAGUGGUUUGAACCUCUCUCAGCAUGAUCGCUGGGUCGUGAAAGGGAUCAUUCCAAGAGUGAACAUUGCAGGAGACCCAAAAAGGUGUAGCAAUGCUUAUAAUGCCGUAGCUUCAGAAGUCUCAUGAUACAACUUCUGCCAUAUCGUGUUAAUCCAAGCAGUCACAGGGCAUGCCUGGAUUCAAUGGGGUGAAUAAAUAGGUUCUAUCUCUUGAGUGUCGGAGUGACAAGGUUACAUCACAGAACAGCAUGUGGAAGAGAGAAAUUGUUGCUGCCAUCUUUGGAAAAUUUCAUCAGCUGCAUUAACAAUUACUUCUUUAUAUUCCUUAUAUUUUUCUUUGUACUUUAUACAUGUUAAAUAUCUUUAUUAUUUUUCUUCUGAAACAUGUAAAGCAAUACAGGACAGUUUAAACCCUCAAACCCUCUUUAAGUCUGAAGAUUAUUAAGUGGCUUUAGUGAGCAUUUUCUGGAUAAAUAUUUAGAGAUACUUCAAUUUUAUUAUAGUAAAACAUAGUUUAAAAGUCUUUUGAUAUUGAUAUUGUUCCUAAGGGUUGAAUGUGGUGACUGAAAUAGCUAAAAAACCAAAACCUCCAAAAAUACGAAAUAAAAACUGGUAAAAAGCAAUGUAUCAGUCGUGGCUCAUUUCACUACAUUGGGUUGGAGUGCUGCGGGCCGUUUGUUUCACUCUUUUACCUUCAGAUCACCCAACAAAAAGACAGUUGAAUUAAAAUAAUCCUGGGAGUUCCAUGUGGCUUAGUGGAUUAUGAACCUGAUUAGCAUCCAUGAGGACGUGGGUUGGAUCCCUGGUCUCGCUCGGUGGGUUAAGGAUGUGGCAUUGCUAUGAGCUGUGGUAUAUG